ACAACUAAAUAAUGUGUGCUAUAACUCUGUGUAGACCAAGAGCAUGGUGCAGAGAACACUACCCACCUGCGGGUAAGAAUAGCCUAGCCAAAACGAUAGCUUUGGUGACGGUCAAAGGCUUGCAUUGCGAGAUGUAAGAUGCCACCUAUGAAUAGAAUGGUUCUGGGGGUGUGUGCUAAAGCAAUCCUUGUUAAAAACACUGUCCUAUCGCUUCCACAAUAGAAGCUAAGCGUUAAAAGCGUAAGCCGAAUCCGAGGGCUGUGUCGCUGUGGCAAGCGGCAUAAGUACGGAAGUGCCACUAAGGAAGUUUGCUGUGAGAUUGUCGAAAGACAAAGUAUAAGAUAGGGUCAAGGUACGAGUAGCAAAAAGCAAUGACUGUAGUAAUUUUACAAGUCAAAUGAUGAAGAUUUGAAGAAAAUAAUUCUGAAUGCUUUGUGAAAGUUAAGGGUAGAAAGAGCCCCUUGUAAGAUUUGAUGGUUUCCAUCUAGGCAAGAUGUCAUAGGGUAGCUCCCUGUGGCACAGACUUGUCUACUUACUGGUUGAAUAUGACGAUGAUUGUGGAAGGUAGAACGAAGGUUCAUGGCACAUGUUAUUUAGUU
rnacentral:sRNA from 12 species